rnacentral:rRNA from 1 species
AUCAACUUUCGAUGGUAGGAUAGAGGCCUACCAUGGUGGUAACGGGUAACGGGGUGUUAGGGCACGACACCGGAGAGGGAGCCUGAGAAACGGCUACCACAUCCAAGGAUGGCAGCAGGCGCGCAAAUUACCCAAUCCCGACACGGGGAGGUAGUGACAAUAAAUAACAAUACGGGGUUCUUUCGGAUCUCGUAAUUGGAAUGAGUACAAUUUAAAUCUCUUAACGAGGAACAAUUGGAGGGCAAGUCUGGUGCCAGCAGCCGCGGUAAUUCCAGCUCCAAUAGCGUAUAUUAAAGUUGUUGCAGUUAAAAAGCUCGUAGUUGAAUUUCGGGAUCAAUAUGUUGGUCGUGCCUUGGUACGUACUGGCGUCAUUGGUUUCUACCUUCUGAAGAACCUCGAUGUCAUUAAUUUGGUGUCUUGGGGAAUCAGGACUGUUACUUUGAAAAAAUUAGAGUGUUUAAAGCAGGCUCACGCUUGAAUGCAUUAGCAUGGAAUAAUGAAAUAGGACGUUUGAUUCUAUUUUGUUGGUUUCUAGGAUCGACGUAAUGAUUAAUAGGGAUAGUUGGGGGCAUUAGUAUUCAAUUGUCAGAGGUGAAAUUCUUGGAUUUAUUGAAGACUAACUACUGCGAAAGCAUUUGCCAAGGAUGUUUUCAUUAAUCAAGAACGAAAGUUAGGGGAUCGAAGACGAUCAGAUACCGUCGUAGUCUUAACCAUAAACUAUGCCGACUAGGGAUCGGAUGAUGUUAAUUUUUUAAUGACUCAUUCGGCGCCUUACGGGAAACCAAAGUGUUUGGGUUC